rnacentral:rRNA from 1 species
CGAUAGCGUAUAUUAAAGUUGUUGCGGUUAAAAAGCUCGUAGUUGGAUUUCUGCCGAGGACGACCGGUCCGCCCUCUGGGUGAGUAUCUGGUUCGACCUGGGCAUCCUCUUGGAGAACGUGGCUGCACUUGAUUGUGUGGUGCGGUAUCCAGGACUUUUACUUUGAGGAAAUUAGAGUGUUUCAAGCAGGCACACGCCUUGAAUACAUUAGCAUGGAAUAAUAAGAUAGGACCUCGGUUCUAUUUUGUUGGUUUCUAGAGCUGAGGUAAUGAUUAAUAGGGAUAAUUGGGGGCAUUCGUAUUAACGUGUCAGAGGUGGAAUUCUUGGAUUACGUUACGACGAACUAAUGCGAAAGCAUUUGCCAAGGAUGUUUUCAUUGAUCAAGAACGAAAGUACGGGGAUCGAAGACGAUUAGAU